CAGAUGCGUGUUCCCUGGGGGACAGGGACGCACCCUGAGGGCCCGGAGACUUGGCCCUUCCCAGGGCGAGCCGGAGCAGCAGGUUCUGUCACCCCGAGUCGUCCUGACCCACGGCCCUCCAGCCCUGCACCUCCCCAUCCCCUACCCUCCGCGGGCAUCUCCUGGGGCCUCCCCCUUCCACUCAAUAAACAGAUUCUGCAGCUUC